GGCAGCAGGCCGCGGUAACACCGGCGGCCCGAGUGGUGAUCGUGAUUAUUGGGUCUAAAGGGUCCGUAGCCGGUUUGGUCAGUCCUCCGGGAAAUCUGAUAGCUCAACUAUUAGGCUUUCGGGGGAUACUGCCAGACUUGGAACCGGGAGGGGUAAGAGGUACUACAGGGGUAGGAGUGAAAUCUUGUAAUCCCUGUGGGACCACCUGUGGCGAAGGCGUCUUACCAGAACGGGUUCGACGGUGAGGGACGAAAGCUGGGGGCACGAACCGGAUUAGAUACCCGGGUAGUCCCAGCCGUAAACGAUGCUCGCUAGGUGUCAGGCAUGGCGCGACCGUGUCUGGUGCCGCAGGGAAGCCGUGAAGCGAGCCACCUGGGAAGUACGGCCGCAAGGCUGAAACUUAAAGGAAUUGGCGGGGGAGCACAACAACGGGUGGAAGCCUGCGGUUUAAUUGGACUCAACGCCGGACAACUCACCGGGGGCGACAGCAAUAUGUAGGCCAAGCUGAAGACUUUGCCUGAAUCGCUGAGAAGAGGUGCAUGG
rnacentral:rRNA from 1 species